rnacentral:rRNA from 1 species
AUUGAACGCUGGCGGCAUGCCUUACACAUGCAAGUCGAACGGUAACAGGUCUUUCGGGAUGCUGACGAGUGGCGAACGGGUGAGUAAUACAUCGGAACGUGCCUAGUAGUGGGGGAUAACUACUCGAAAGAGUGGCUAAUACCGCAUGAGAUCUAUGGAUGAAAGCAGGGGACCUUUGGGCCUUGUGCUACUAGAGCGGCCGAUGGCAGAUUAGGUAGUUGGUGGGAUAAAAGCUUACCAAGCCUACGAUCUGUAGCUGGUCUGAGAGGACGAUCAGCCACACUGGGACUGAGACACGGCCCAGACUCCUACGGGAGGCAGCAGUGGGGAAUUUUGGACAAUGGGCGCAAGCCUGAUCCAGCAAUGCCGCGUGCAGGAUGAAGGCCUUCGGGUUGUAAACUGCUUUUGUACGGAACGAAAAGUAUUGGGUUAAUACCCUGGGAUCAUGACGGUACCGUAAGAAUAAGCACCGGCUAACUACGUG